AGGCUCGCCCAGGCCCGGCCGCCGGCCCGCGCGCACCUGCAGACGCUAACGGCCCCCCUCUCCGCCCUGGGGGAGCCGGGAGGAUGUGCAGCCCCAGUCCUCCUGCUCGGCGGAGCCUCGCGCGCGCAGAGCCUAGCGCGAUUCGCGCCCUCAUUACUACUACAAAGCGCGGGCCAGACCAAUCCCCUUUCUAAUGCACCAUUUUCGACUGAGAACAUCAAGAGGCCAGAAACUUCCAAGUCAGCUUGCAGACGCAGACGCCUCCUGGGGUCCUGGCUUUAAGAACCAGAUGCCAACACUCCCGGACAGUUUAUGGCAUCCGGAUCCCUCAAGGGUGCUCAUCUGCAGUUGAGAGUCUAAUAAAUGGCAUUAACAAAGCGUUUCAGCGACUACCACGGCUUCACAGUGGCUCCUCCCCUGCCCUGCCACCAUUCAGGCUGUAAUUCCUUCCAGGAUUCCCGCACCAUCCUGUGUGCCCAGAGCUCUCUAGAGCACCAGGAUUCUGUGUGAAGAAUACAGAGACAGACGUUCCAUUUCAAAGAAAAAAGAGCAACACGAAGGCCCUCUUUAAGGAGAGAGUAAACAUUCACUUUAGGUAAAAAAUAGUCUUUUACACGCCUGUGCACGGCACACCUCUUUUGCUGUUCACCUUGAGCCCAAGAGUUUGGAAAGGCUGCCCCCAUUUCAGAGAGGAAGAAACGCAGGCACACGUGAAUGACAGACUCCUCUGUGGUGGCCUAGACUCCAGCCAACACUUCCUAGGACAGCCUGCCAUUGUGCAAAGUCACCAUGUAACAAAUGCAGACAUCUCUGAGAUCACCAUGCAGUGAGGAAGUCUAAGCUGGUGGCAUGAAGAGGCCACAUGGAAAGGGCUAAAAAAGGGGCCAGCCUCAGUCAUCCCAGCUGAGCACCUGGCUGGGAAUAAAAGAGGACUCCGUGGAUGUCCAGCCCAGUAAGAUGACCUCAGCCCCAGCCACCAACUGACCAAGCACACAAGACAUCGUGAGGCUGCCUGCUGGAGCCUGGCCAGUGGGACUGUAGAGUAACUCAUUGUCGUAAGUCAAUACUUUUGUGGGUGAUUUGUUUCAUAAAGUGGCCUCCAAAAGAGAAAUUGGGGGUACAGAGUUUCUAGGUAUAAUCUUGUGCAUUCAUUAUAGUUGUAAUCAUUGAUAAUUUAUUUGUGUAUUUUUCCUGAAAGUUUUAUAACAACAUGAUUUAUAGUGCAUAAAAUAAACAUAUCCCUACACCCAACAAA
rnacentral:lncRNA from 1 species